UACGUAGGGGGUUAGCGUUGUCCGGAAUCAUUGGGCGUAAAGAGCGUGUAGGCGGCCCGGUAAGUCCGCUGUGAAAGUCGGGGGGCUCAACCCUCGAAUGCCGGUGGAUACUGUCGGGCUAGAGUGCGGAAGAGGCGAGUGGAAUUCCUGGUGUAGCGGUGAAAUGCGCAGAUAUCAGGAGGAACACCAAUUGCGAAGGCAGCUCGCUGGGACGUAACUGACGCUGGAGAACGCGAAAGCCGUGGGGAGCAAACAGG
rnacentral:rRNA from 1 species